GUCUCAGUUCGGAUCGGAGUCUGCAACCCGACUCCGUGAAGCUGGAUUCGCUAGUAAUCGCGCAUCAGCCAUGGCGCGGUGAAUACGUUCCCGGGCCUUGUACACACCGCCCGUCAAGCCAUGGGAGCCGGGAGUGCCUGAAGUCCGUGACCGCGAGGAGCGGCCUAGGGUAAGACCGGUGACUGGGGCUAAGUCGUAACAAGGUACC
rnacentral:rRNA from 1 species